CCUACGGGAGGCAGCAGUGAGGAAUAUUGGUCAAUGGACGAGAGUCUGAACCAGCCAAGUAGCGUGAAGGAUGACUGUCCUAUGGGUUGUAAACUUCUUUUAUAUGGGAAUAAAAUGUUCCACGUGUGGGAUUUUGUAUGUACCAUAUGAAUAAGGAUCGGCUAACUCCGUGCCAGCAGCCGCGGUAAUACGGAGGAUCCGAGCGUUAUCCGGAUUUAUUGGGUUUAAAGGGAGAGUAGGUGGAUUGUUAAGUCAGUUGUGAAAGUUUGCGGCUCAACCGUAAAAUUGCAGUUGAAACUGGCAGUCUUGAGUACAGUAGAGGUGGGCGGAAUUCGUGGUGUAGCGGUGAAAUGCUUAGAUAUCACGAAGAACUCCGAUUGCGAAGGCAGUUCACUGGACUGCAACUGACACUGAGGCUCGAAAGUGUGGGUAUCAAACAGGAUUAGAUACCCGUGUAGUC
rnacentral:rRNA from 1 species